UACGGGGGGAGCAAGCGUUGUUCGGAUUUACUGGGCGUAAAGCGUGCGCUGGCGGUUUUGUAAGUCAGAUGUGAAAUCCCCGGGCUUAACCUGGGAACUGCGUUUGAAACUACAAGGCUAGAGUGUGGCAGAGGGGGAUGGAAUUCCACGUGUAGCAGUGAAAUGCGUAGAGAUGUGGAGGAACACCGAUGGCGAAGGCAGCCCCCUGGGUUAACACUGACGCUCAGGCACGAAAGCGUGGGGAGCAAACAGG
rnacentral:rRNA from 1 species